CUACCUUUACAGAGGGAUAGCCCAGAGAAAUUUGGAUUAAUACCUCAUAGUAUUUUCGGAUCGCAUGAUUUGAUUAUUAAAGUUCCAACGGUAAAAGAUGAGUAUGCGUCCCAUUAGCUAGAUGGUAAGGUAACGGCUUACCAUGGCAAUGAUGGGUAGGGGUCCUGAGAGGGAGAUCCCCCACACUGGUACUGAGACACGGACCAGACUCCUACGGGAGGCAGCAGUGAGGAAUAUUGGACAAUGGGCGCAAGCCUGAUCCAGCCAUGCCGCGUGCAGGAAUAAGGUCCUAUGGAUUGUAAACUGCUUUUAUACAGGAAGAAACACACCCUCGUGAGGGUACUUGACGGUACUGUAUGAAUAAGGACCGGCUAACUCCGUG
rnacentral:rRNA from 1 species